UACGGAGGGUGCGAACGUUAAUCGGAAUCACUGGGCGUAAAGCGCGCGUAGGCGGUUUGCUAAGUGGGAUGUGAAAUCCCCGGGCUUAACCUGGGAAUUGCAUUUCAAACUGGCCGACUAGAGUACGGUAGAGGGAGGUAGAAUUUCCUGUGUAGCGGUGAAAUGCGUAGAUAUAGGAAGGAAUACCAGUGGCGAAGGCGGCCUCCUGGAUCGAUACUGACGCUG
rnacentral:rRNA from 1 species